GUAGAGACUAGAGUCUCGCCUCGACAUCACUCAUUGUCUUGGCGUGCUAGAGUCCUCUUAGAGUGAAGACUGCUCCUAUUCACUGACUGGACCUUUUUGGUAGACCAGUCGGCCACAUGGUCAGUUACAAAC
ensembl:snoRNA